rnacentral:rRNA from 1 species
ACACCUACGGGUGGCUGCAGUCGAGAAUCUUCCGCAAUGGGCGAAAGCCUGACGGAGCGACGCCGCGUGCGGGAUGAAGGCCUUCGGGUUGUAAACCGCUGUCAGAGGGGAACAAAUCCACGGGGGUUCUCCCUCGUGGGUGAGUGAUCCUCAGAGGAAGCGCAGGCUAAGUCCGUGCCAGCAGCCGCGGUAACACGGACUGCGCAAACGUUAUUCGGAAUCACUGGGCUUAAAGCGUUCGUAGGCGGCCGUGCAGGUGGGGUGUGAAAUCCCUCGGCUCAACCGAGGAAUUGCGCUCCAAACCACACGGCUUGAGAGAGAUAGAGGUGAGCGGAACUCACGGUGGAGCGGUGAAAUGCGUUGAUAUCGUGAGGAACACCGGUGGCGAAAGCGGCUCACUGGGUCUCUUCUGACGCUGAGGGACGAAAGCUAGGGGAGCGAACGGGAUUAGAUACCCCGGUAGUCCUAGCUGUAAACGAUGAGCACUAGAUCGGGGGGACCUCCACAUCCUCCUGGUCGUAGCGAAAGUGUUAAGUGCUCCGCCUGGGGA